CUUGAACGCUGGCGGCAUGCCUUACACAUGCAAGUCGAACGGCAGCACGGGAGCAAUCCUGGUGGCGAGUGGCGAACGGGUGAGUAAAGUAUCGGAACGUGCCCAGUCGUGGGGGAUAACGUAGCGAAAGUUACGCUAAUACCGCAUACGAUCUAUGGAUGAAAGCGGGGGAUCGCAAGACCUUGCGCGAUUGGAGCGGCCGAUAUCAGAUUAGGUAGUUGGUGGGGUAAAGGCUCACCAAGCCGACGAUCUGUAGCUGGUCUGAGAGGACGACCAGCCACACUGGGACUGAGACACGGCCCAGACUCCUACGGGAGGCAGCAGUGGGGAAUUUUGGACAAUGGGCGAAAGCCUGAUCCAGCCAUGCCGCGUGCAGGAUGAAGGCCUUCGGGUUGUAAACUGCUUUUGUACGGAACGAAAAGGUUUGGCCUAAUAAGCUGAGCUCAUGACGGUACCGUAAGAAUAAGCACCGGCUAACUACGUGCCAGCAGCCGCAGUAACAC
rnacentral:rRNA from 1 species